rnacentral:rRNA from 1 species
GACGAACGCUGGCGGCGUGCUUAACACAUGCAAGUCGAACGGAAAGGCCCUGCUUUUGUGGGGUGCUCGAGUGGCGAACGGGUGAGUAACACGUGAGUAACCUGCCCUUGACUUUGGGAUAACUUCAGGAAACUGGGGCUAAUACCGGAUAGGAGCUCCUGCUGCAUGGUGGGGGUUGGAAAGUUUCGGCGGUUGGGGAUGGACUCGCGGCUUAUCAGCUUGUUGGUGGGGUAGUGGCUUACCAAGGCUUUGACGGGUAGCCGGCCUGAGAGGGUGACCGGCCACAUUGGGACUGAGAUACGGCCCAGACUCCUACGGGAGGCAGCAGUGGGGAAUCUUGCACAAUGAGCGGAAGCCUGAUGCAGCAACGCCGCGUGCGGGAUGACGGCCUUCGGGUUGUAAACCGCUUUCGCCUGUGACGAAGCGUGAGUGACGGUAAUGGGUAAAGAAGCACCGGCUAACUACGUG